rnacentral:lncRNA from 1 species
GGUUUAUACUGGUCCAUACCGGUUUAUACUGGUCCAUACUGGUUAUACUAGCCCAUACUGGUCCAUACUGGGAAUUCACUGGUUUAUAUUGGUCUGUACCGGUCUGUACUGGUCCGUACUGGUUUAUACUGGUUCAUACUGGUCCAUACUGGUUUAUACUGGUCCGUACUGGUCCAUACUGGUUUGUACUGGUCCAUACCGGUCCAUACUGGUCCGUACUGGUCCAUACUGGUCUGUACUGGUCCAUACUGGUCCGUACUGGUUUAUACUGGUGCAGAUCAUGGACGCCCCGUCAGAGGAAGGUGACGAUGAUGAAGAGCAGCUGGUGGCUCAGGAGCGCCCCCUGCAGGCCGCAGACGCUCCCUCCGAGGCCCGUGAUGAUGAUGGUGACGAUGAUGAUGAUGAGAACUCAUUGGCGCGGGUUCAGGAGCGCAUCCUGCGGAUCAUGAAAAUCCCCUGGGAGGCCGCUGACGAUGAAGGUGACGAGGAUGAGGAUGAGGAGUCGGUGGCGCAGGCUCAGGAGCGGCUCCUGCAGGUUUGUACUGGUUUGUACUGGUCUGUACUGGUCCAUACCAGUCCAUAUUGGUUUAUACUGGUCCAUACUGGUCCAUACCGGUCCGUACUUGUUUAUACCAGUCCAUACUGGUUAUACUGGUCCAUACUGGUUAUACCUUCCAUACUGGUCCAUACUGGUCCGUACUGGUCCAUACUGGUUUUACUGGUCCAUACCGGUCCAUACUGGUCCAUACUGGUUAUACUGGUCCAUACUGGUCUAUACUGGUUUAUACUGGUCCAUACUGGUUUAUACCG